UCCUAGCCAUUUUUCUAGACCUACUUAAUGUUUUUAGUGGUUGGUGAAUUUAUUUUAUCAGUCUACUUUGAAAAAUGUGUUAACAAUUUUCUGGUUUUCUGCACUUUGUUUAAUAUCCACUGUUUUCAGUUUUUUUUUUCAAAUUUCUCCCUGCUUAUUUGGUGCAGGAUCUCAUGUGAGAGCUUUCAAAUUGCUAGAGGCUGUUUCAGUUGCCUUGUUAAAUACUUGUCCUCCUGAGUCAUUGUGUUGUGCUACUCUCACUGUUUUAUGUGCUUGUGUUGAAGGCAUAGCCAGCCGCCAAUCACUCAGAUGAUUACCCAUACAGCUGGUCUGUACCUCCUUAUCAUCCUCCCUCUUUCAAAUAUGAUAAUAGGAAGGUCAGUGUUUGCCUUGACUGCUGCCGUGUCUCCCUAGUCUACAGAUGCUCUGGUCAUGUAUGACUUAAAUGAAUGUUUGUAUAUUUAAUGGGUACUAUUCAGUAUAGUGAAUGGAUUCAAUUCAGUAUACAAACAUUCAUUUAAAGCUGGAAUCCUUAAUGGUGAAACUGCCACGUCCGUUUGCCAUAUUACAACAAAGAAGUUAUUGCAAACAGUAGUUAAUUGUGUAGAUACUCCUCUAAGAAAACCAGGGUUUCCAUUAGCCGGUACUAGCCGGGUUUUGGACAAUAUUUUUUUAUAUUUUUUAUGUAUUGUUGAAAAGCUGAUAAAUAAAAUUGCUGCCAGUCAAUUGUCCACCGGGAGAGGAAAAAGCCCAUUGCGAAAUGCUUUUAAGCCUAUUAAUUGAUGUAAAUACCAGUGGAUGUAAAUACAUUUGACUGGUCAUGUGUAUCGGUCUACAGGUUAAUUUGCAUAAUUUGGUGGAACUAAAUUGGCACAUGUGUACAGUAUAUUUGUUUAUGUCUCUUAUCACGAGUACAGCAUACACAUACAGAGCCUUUGAGUGGAAUAUCUGUCAGACAGAGCAAGAGCUGCUGCUACAGCAUCUCAAACAGCAAAUGCAUAGACAACAGAAGGCAGGCUUCAUCAGCGCAUCACACACACGACUUUGCAAUGAGCUGGAGGCAGCAUACAUUUUGAAAACAUAUACUUAAUUGUUUGAAACCUGAACAUUUUACUGCAUAUUAUGAGGCAUAUCUUACCUUGCUUUAAAGAAGUCUUGCCAACAUCGGACUAUCAGUGGAGGCAAUUAUUUUAUAUCAACUUUAUUUCAUUGUCCAGUAGCCAAAGGCACAAUCUGUGUCAUAUUAGCAACCCAUGCUAGUUGUUGCAUCAUCUCUGUCACAUGAAACCGCAGGCAUGUGCGGUGUGCUUUUAACACUUUGUCCUGCUAAUUGCAUUAUGGUACUAGCAUUCACGUGAAGCCUACUGCCUUGUGUGUAUUGCUGAACUUUAUAAUGUGAAUAAUAGUUUAUCAACAUUUUUAAAUGAAUGUUCUGAUCUGUUGCAUAAUACUCUUUUUUUUCUUUUUAACUUUUUUUUGUUUAUGUAGCCUAGGCCUGGUUAUAUGAAUUUGGGAUCUAUCGUCCCACAGCUGUCCCAAAGUCUGUUCGGAAUAGGCUUUCUUUCUCGACAAGCGCACCAAUAGUAUAGGUAAACUUUUCUACUAUGGGGGCUAGUGAUUUUGCUGUUCGUUAGUCUUGUUAGCUGAGGAAAAGUAAAUGUGGACAGUUCUAACAUCUUCAAAGUGCACAUCAGAAUUUGUUAACAAGGACCACAAAUCGUUGCAUCUUCCAUUUGCAUGUUCUGUUAAUAAGAAUGACGUUAAACUAAAUGUGAUUUAUGUCAUUCUUCGCACUGGGUAGAGGCCCUAAUCAGGUUACUCACCCAAUGCCCUUGGGUCCGGUACAUUUUCAAAUGUCUGCUGAAUUAAAAUUCUGCUGGUCAAAUGUCCGGUGCCACAUUUUCCAAAUUGAAACCCUAGUGGAUACUGUAAAACAGCAAAGCACUUUUUUUCCCCCUUGGACAUCAUUGCACAGCAAUAGAACAGCAGAAUAUGGACUGCAUUUUUUUUAUUUAUUUUAUUUUAUUUACCACAUUGCGCAAGGCUUGUCAUCACUUUUUCAACAAAAACAACAUUGGUAGGGUGGACAGUGGCGCUGUUUCUUCCUACUGCGGAUUCCAUCUUUAAGAUAUAAUAAUAAUAUAAUAAUAUAUGCCAUUUAGCAGACGCUUUUAUCCAAAGCGACUUACAGUCAUGUGUGCAUACAUUCUACGUAUGGGUGGUCCCGGGGAUCGAACCCACUACCCUGGCGUUACAAGCGCCAUGCUCUACCAACUGAGCUACAGAAGGACGGCUAAAGAUGCUUCUGCCUGCCCUUUUUGAGCCAUCUCUCUGUGUAAUACUCAAACUGCUUAUCGUAAGAUGUUUUUUCUGUGCAUUUUCACAUUCAUACAUGUAAAAUGUUGUUUAGCUAAAGAAAAUGUUGUUUUGUUUAGGUUUGCAAGGGCAUUGAUGGCCAACUGCAUGUCAACCUGCUGUGCUCGGUGAAUGUGUCAGAACCCCCUCUAGGGACACUACCAUACAUGGAGAGCACAGAGGCUGUCAGACUGCUCAAGUCCACAAGGGAUUCUGAGAAGCACUUAUUUCUGGCUGUUGGAUUCCACAAACCUCACAUUCCUUUCAGAAUCCCACAGGUACCGCACCUGCAGCUGCCCUUAUUUUCAGACAUGGACUUUUUAACUGUGCAAUCAGAUGGCAUUAAUGAGCAAGUAUGAUUCCCCCAAUAGAAUGAUCAGGCUCUCCAACCCUGUCCCUGCAGCGCUACCGGCCUAUAGGUUUUUGCUCCAACACUAUUCAAGCGCACCUGAUUCUAAUAAAUGGCUGAUGAUAAGCUGAAUCGGGUUAGUUACAACUGGGGUUGGGGUGAACCUACAGGAGGGUAUCACUCCAGAAACAGGGUUGGAGAGCCCUAAUGUAGAUGGUAUGAUUUGUUAACUGAUGAAAGGCUUUGCCAAUUGCCUAACAAACUUUGUGUGUAUUAGGAGUUCUUGAAGCACUACCCCCUGGAUAAGAUUACCCUGAUGUUCCUAAAGGCCUCCCCAGCAUGACCUACAAUCCCUGGACUGACAUUAGGAAGAUGUUCAAGCUCUGAAGAUCAGCUUCCCAUAUGAACCAAUACCAAAGGAAUUCCAGGUUGAUUAUACAUGCACACUCUUGGGGGAAAAAAGUGCUAUCUAGAACCUAAAAGGGUUCUUCGGCUGUCCCCAAAGGAGAACCCUUUGAAGAGCCGUUUUUGGUUUCAUACCACAUACUAUUAAUAUUUGUGUUAGUGACUCAGCAUCAGAAGUUAUGUCAAGACACUCUCAUUAUAGAAUAUAUAUUGUUUAUUAUAAAUCCAGAGUUAAAAAUCUGUUUCGGUCAGAGACCUUCAUCAGACAAUGUUUGUGACUCAGCUCUAGAUUCGACAGCACUAUUAUGUCUCUGUGAUAUACCUGGACUCCCAAGUGGGCAUGUUGUCAAAUACUCUGGAUGAUCUGGGCCUGGCUAAAGACAAUGAUGUGCUCUUUACUUCAGACCAUUGGAAAAGUAAUUUGUCCAUAUAGCCCAGUCCUAAACUGGGCUGGGUUCAGUAUGAAAAAAAAUGGUGUGCAGUGUUCAGUUAAAUAGAAACGUUGCUGUUCUGAAUGACAAGUUGAAAAACGGGGAGGAGUUGGGUCGUGGGUUGGUAUGACGAUUCAAAAUACACCGCUGCCCUUUAAAUACGUCACUCAUUGCUCCAAGCCGCACCCCACCACACACACCAAACGGAGCAAACGUACCUCAAAAUUUGUUAAAAGAACGUGGGAGAACAUGUCAUUCAGUACAAACCGUCAUGCAAUGUACCAAGCGUUUAAUCAAACUGAACGAACCCCUAGUGUCUGUAAUGGUUUGUUAAUGGCAGUGCUUGAGGUACUCUUUAGCCACUAGAUGGGGGUGUGAGAACAUCAAAAUUCUGCCUUCACCUUCCUGAGUUGACAAAGAUUUACUUCACCAGCUUGGAUCCAUUCAUAGCAUAUAUCAGUCCCUCCAGGAUUCUAUGAUCAUGUUUUUUUUUUUGAAAAAUCAACAAUUCCCUCCAUAUUAUGCGAGAGCUUGCAAAUUUGAACAAUCACUGCACUUCUGCAUUAAAAAAAGUCAAAUCAUCGCAUAAAACUGACCCAUCACCACAGUUUAUAAAGAGGGCAUGCAAUUUCAACCAAUCACCUCUAAUUUACCACAUAAUAUGGUUCAAUCAAGCCACACGUCAAGAAAUGUUUUCCCUCGUCAGCGCAUUUCUACAACAAAUUGGACAAAAUCAUUGCAUAUUACCGUGCAAAAUGUCAGAAUUUUUGCCUACAAAUAUCACAAAAAAUCCCUGCUGAAUUCCUGGAGGGACUGAUAUGUUGUCUUGACUAUGAACUGUAGGUUGAUUUAAAGGAGCAUCGUAUGUAAAAUGAGUUAUUGUUACAUGUUUUUUAUUCCAUGCCUGUAUGUUGCAUACCAUGGCCAAUAAUACAUUUUAUGUUGUCCGAUUGCUUAAUUACAUUGUCAUUUUUGUAAAAUAUGAUUCCUUUCUCUUAAAGGAUGGUCACUUGGGUAGCAUGGGGAAUGGGCCAAAUACAGCAACUUUGACGUGGCCACUCGCCUUCCCCUAAUGUUCUACGUACCAGGUGUGACUGCAGUCCGCCAGGGGAUGAGAUCUUUCCCUACAUAGAUGUGUUUGGUCCAGCACAGCAUCACUUUACACAAGGACAGAUGGUGCAAGAGAAGUUUGUUCUCUACUAUGUGACAUUGUUAUUCCCAGUUCUGUUGAUGGAUUGUGACUAUCUCACUCUCACUGGAGGAAUGUGAAUGAGCUGCUAGAUGUCUACCCCACAGUGUCUUACCUGGCUGGGCUGAAGCCCCCACACCCCUGUCUUGACAACUCCUUCGACGUGGAUCUCUGUACCCUAGGGAGACAACCUGGCCUACUCCUUCAAGCACCUAGACUACAGCAAGGACUGCAGCCAGUAUCCCAAGGCCCGCAGACCCCCCUCCCCCAGGAGAACUCUGACCUGCCUAACCUGAAGGAAUUCCAGGUGAUGGGCUACUCUGCCCUCCUGAGACUACCGCUUCACCCUGUGGGUGGGUUUUGACCCUGCUAGCUUCCAGACUGACCUGGUGGUCCACGCUGUGGAACUGUACCUCAUGGAGAGAGACCCAGGCCAGGACCACAACCUGUACUCUGCAAGCUGGGCCAGGACCAUCAUCAGCUGAAUACCCUUACCUCAAACACCACCUCUAUGUCACUGCAGAGAUUAAAUCUAAAGGGAUGUCAUGAUAAUGCCUUGUUUCGAUAAUGAACUAUUUAGAAGGGAAGAUCUGAAUUGUUGCUAUAUUCAGAAAGGACUCAACAUUUAAUGAAUAUAUUGAAUGUCCCACAGUUACAAUAAGGGCACUUAAUGUUUGUAGUUAACCGUUAAGAUAUUAGCUGCUGCUAUCAUGGUUAACCUGUAGUAUCUACAGUACAUGGGUUUUUAGGCACACACAUUGUCUUAGCGUGUGCCUAAGAUAAAAAGUGAAAAGGUGUCUGUGGGAGUUAGUGUGCUAAAUUUGAUUGAAUCACAGAUGAGACCAAUAGGGUUAGUUUUGCAAGCAUAAAGAUUUUCUACAGUAAUAAAACAACCUAAGGUUA